rnacentral:ncRNA from 1 species
AAUUUUUAUGUUUUAUAAAAUUUAUUAUGAAUUUAUUUUACAUAUAAAUUUUAGUAUAAAAUUUUAAUUAUUUUAAAAAUAAAUUAAUUUUAAGUGUUAUAGUAAUUUAAAUUAAAAAUUUAAGAAAUUAAGAUUUAGUAAUAUAAAAAUUAAUAACUAAUUUUGUGCCAGCAGUUGCGGUUAUACAAAAAUUAAAUUAAAUUAUUUCAGUAUUUAAUAAAUAAAAUAUAAUUAAAAUAAAUAUUAAAUUAUUAGGUGAAAUUUUAAUUUAAUUAAAUUUUAAAUUAAUUUUAUGAUUUAAUAAAUUUAAUAAUAAACUAGGAUUAGAUACCCUAUUAUUAAAAAUUUAACUAAUAAUACUAAAAUAGUAGAUAAUAAAUAUUGAAACUUAAAUAAUAUGGCGGUAUUUUAGUUCAUUUAGAGGAAUCUGUUUAAUAAUUGAUAAUCCACGAAUAAAUUUACUUAAUUUAAUAUUUUAUAUAUCGUUGUUAAAAAAAUAUUUUAUUAUAAAAAUAAUAUUUUAAAAUUUUAAAAGUAAAUUAAUUCAGAUCAAGAUGUAGAUUAUAAUUAAGAAUAUAAUGGAUUACAAUAAAAUAAUUUAAAUGAAUAAUUAAUUUUAAAAUUAAUUUGAAGGUGGAUUUAAAUGUAAUUUUAAUUAAUUUAUUAAAAUGAUUAAAAAUUGAAAUAUGUACAUAUUGCCCGUCACUUUCAUUUAAAAAUUGAAAUAAGUCGUAACAAAGUAGAAGUACUGGAAAGUGUUUCUAGAAUGAA